CAAAAACAAAGAAAAUAGGAGCUGAAACGAGAGAAGAACUGGCAGAAUAGCUUGUUAUCAAGGAUGGACACAUUAUCUGCUACAGAACAAAGGACUAUUCCAUAUGCGAAUGGAGGAGAUUAUUGUAUCAAGCUGAGAUUAUGAAAGAAGUUCAGUCACUUCGUAAAGAAACUCAGCAGCUUCGGCAAUUACUUUAACCAUUGGCAGAGACUUCACUUUUCAAUUCAAAUAUGUCUCUGAUACAUGUGUGCCUUACAUCACUACUGCUUUGAUGGAUGCGAAGCUAGGCACGGAAGGGGGCAAGGAUCUUUUUGAUUGGCUAUCAAGGCAACUUAGUGGAUUAAAACUUCGAAUAUGAAUUAUGUAUUGUGUCGAAUAGUUAAUGAAUUAAAACUUAGUG